rnacentral:rRNA from 1 species
GGUUAAGCGACUAAGCGUACACGGUGGAUGCCCUGGCAGUCAGAGGCGAUGAAGGACGUGCUAAUCUGCGAUAAGCGUCGGUAAGGUGAUAUGAACCGUUAUAACCGGCGAUUUCCGAAUGGGGAAACCCAGUGUGUUUCGACACACUAUCAUUAACUGAAUCCAUAGGUUAAUGAGGCGAACCGGGGGAACUGAAACAUCUAAGUACCCCGAGGAAAAGAAAUCAACCGAGAUUCCCCCAGUAGCGGCGAGCGAACGGGGAGCAGCCCAGAGCCUGAAUCAGUGUGUGUGUUAGUGGAAGCGUCUGGAAAGGCGCGCGAUACAGGGUGACAGCCCCGUACACAAAAAUGCACAUGCUGUGAGCUCGAUGAGUAGGGCGGGACACGUGGUAUCCUGUCUGAAUAUGGGGGGACCAUCCUCCAAGGCUAAAUACUCCUGACUGACCGAUAGUGAACCAGUACCGUGAGGGAAAGGCGAAAAGAACCCCGGCGAGGGGAGUGAAAAAGAACCUGAAACCGUGUACGUACAAGCAGUGGGAGCACGCUUAGGCGUGUGACUGCGUACCUUUUGUAUAAUGGGUCAGCGACUUAUAUUCUGUAGCAAGGUUAACCGAAUAGGGGAGCCGAAGGGAAACCGAGUCUUAACUGGGCGUUAAGUUGCAGGGUAUAGACCCGAAACCCGGUGAUCUAGCCAUGGGCAGGUUGAAGGUUGGGUAACACUAACUGGAGGACCGAACCGACUAAUGUUGAAAAAUUAGCGGAUGACUUGUGGCUGGGGGUGAAAGGCCAAUCAAACCGGGAGAUAGCUGGUUCUCCCCGAAAGCUAUUUAGGUAGCGCCUCGUGAAUUCAUCUCCGGGGGUAGAGCACUGUUUCGGCAAGGGGGUCAUCCCGACUUACCAACCCGAUGCAAACUGCGAAUACCGGAGAAUGUUAUCACGGGAGACACACGGCGGGUGCUAACGUCCGUCGUGAAGAGGGAAACAACCCAGACCGCCAGCUAAGGUCCCAAAGUCAUGGUUAAGUGGGAAACGAUGUGGGAAGGCCCAGACAGCCAGGAUGUUGGCUUAGAAGCAGCCAUCAUUUAAAGAAAGCGUAAUAGCUCACUGGUCGAGUCGGCCUGCGCGGAAGAUGUAACGGGGCUAAACCAUGCACCGAAGCUGCGGCAGCGACGCUUAUGCGUUGUUGGGUAGGGGAGCGUUCUGUAAGCCUGCGAAGGUGUGCUGUGAGGCAUGCUGGAGGUAUCAGAAGUGCGAAUGCUGACAUAAGUAACGAUAAAGCGGGUGAAAAGCCCGCUCGCCGGAAGACCAAGGGUUCCUGUCCAACGUUAAUCGGGGCAGGGUGAGUCGACCCCUAAGGCGAGGCCGAAAGGCGUAGUCGAUGGGAAACAGGUUAAUAUUCCUGUACUUGGUGUUACUGCGAAGGGGGGACGGAGAAGGCUAUGUUGGCCGGGCGACGGUUGUCCCGGUUUAAGCGUGUAGGCUGGUUUUCCAGGCAAAUCCGGAAAAUCAAGGCUGAGGCGUGAUGACGAGGCACUACGGUGCUGAAGCAACAAAUGCCCUGCUUCCAGGAAAAGCCUCUAAGCAUCAGGUAACAUCAAAUCGUACCCCAAACCGACACAGGUGGUCAGGUAGAGAAUACCAAGGCGCUUGAGAGAACUCGGGUGAAGGAACUAGGCAAAAUGGUGCCGUAACUUCGGGAGAAGGCACGCUGAUAUGUAGGUGAGGUCCCUCGCGGAUGGAGCUGAAAUCAGUCGAAGAUACCAGCUGGCUGCAACUGUUUAUUAAAAACACAGCACUGUGCAAACACGAAAGUGGACGUAUACGGUGUGACGCCUGCCCGGUGCCGGAAGGUUAAUUGAUGGGGUUAGCGCAAGCGAAGCUCUUGAUCGAAGCCCCGGUAAACGGCGGCCGUAACUAUAACGGUCCUAAGGUAGCGAAAUUCCUUGUCGGGUAAGUUCCGACCUGCACGAAUGGCGUAAUGAUGGCCAGGCUGUCUCCACCCGAGACUCAGUGAAAUUGAACUCGCUGUGAAGAUGCAGUGUACCCGCGGCAAGACGGAAAGACCCCGUGAACCUUUACUAUAGCUUGACACUGAACAUUGAGCCUUGAUGUGUAGGAUAGGUGGGAGGCUUUGAAGUGUGGACGCCAGUCUGCAUGGAGCCGACCUUGAAAUACCACCCUUUAAUGUUUGAUGUUCUAACGUUGGCCCGUAAUCCGGGUUGCGGACAGUGUCUGGUGGGUAGUUUGACUGGGGCGGUCUCCUCCUAAAGAGUAACGGAGGAGCACGAAGGUUGGCUAAUCCUGGUCGGACAUCAGGAGGUUAGUGCAAUGGCAUAAGCCAGCUUGACUGCGAGCGUGACGGCGCGAGCAGGUGCGAAAGCAGGUCAUAGUGAUCCGGUGGUUCUGAAUGGAAGGGCCAUCGCUCAACGGAUAAAAGGUACUCCGGGGAUAACAGGCUGAUACCGCCCAAGAGUUCAUAUCGACGGCGGUGUUUGGCACCUCGAUGUCGGCUCAUCACAUCCUGGGGCUGAAGUAGGUCCCAAGGGUAUGGCUGUUCGCCAUUUAAAGUGGUACGCGAGCUGGGUUUAGAACGUCGUGAGACAGUUCGGUCCCUAUCUGCCGUGGGCGCUGGAGAACUGAGGGGGGCUGCUCCUAGUACGAGAGGACCGGAGUGGACGCAUCACUGGUGUUCGGGUUGUCAUGCCAAUGGCACUGCCCGGUAGCUAAAUGCGGAAGAGAUAAGUGCUGAAAGCAUCUAAGCACGAAACUUGCCCCGAGAUGAGUUCUCCCUGACUCCUUGAGGGUCCUGAAGGAACGUUGAAGACGACGACGUUGAUAGGCCGGGUGUGUAAGCGCAGCGAUGCGUUGAGCUAACCGGUACUAAUGAACCGUGAGGCUUAACCUU